rnacentral:rRNA from 1 species
ACGGGUGCGUAACGCGUGGGAAUCUGCCCUUGGGUUCGGAAUAACAGUUAGAAAUGACUGCUAAUACCGGAUGAUGUCUUCGGACCAAAGAUUUAUCGCCCAAGGAUGAGCCCGCGUAAGAUUAGCUAGUUGGUGGGGUAAUGGCCCACCAAGGCGACGAUCUUUAGCUGGUCUGAGAGGAUGAUCAGCCACACUGGGACUGAGACACGGCCCAGACUCCUACGGGAGGCAGCAGUGGGGAAUAUUGGACAAUGGGCGAAAGCCUGAUCCAGCAAUGCCGCGUGAGUGAUGGAGGCCUUAGGGUUGUAAAGCUCUUUUACCAGGGAUGAUAAUGACAGUACCUGGAGAAUAAGCUCCGGCUAACUCCGUGCCAGCAGCCGCGGUAAUACGGAGGGAGCUAGCGUUGUUCGGAAUUACUGGGCGUAAAGCGUACGUAGGCGGUUACUCAAGUCAGAGGUGAAAGCCCGGGGCUCAACCCCGGAACUGCCUUUGAAACUAGGUAGCUAGAGUCUUGGAGAGGUUAGUGGAAUUCCGAGUGUAGAGGUGAAAUUCGUAGA